rnacentral:rRNA from 1 species
GUUAGCGGCGGACGGGUGAGUAACACGUGGGUAACCUGCCUGUAAGACUGGGAUAACAUUCGGAAACGAAUGCUAAUACCGGAUACGCGAUUUGGUCGCAUGAUCGAAUCGGGAAAGAUGGAGCAAUCUAUCACUUACAGAUGGACCCGCGGCGCAUUAGCUAGUUGGUGAGGUAACGGCUCACCAAGGCGACGAUGCGUAGCCGACCUGAGAGGGUGAUCGGCCACACUGGGACUGAGACACGGCCCAGACUCCUACGGGAGGCAGCAGUAGGGAAUCUUCCGCAAUGGACGAAAGUCUGACGGAGCAACGCCGCGUGAGUGAUGAAGGUUUUCGGAUCGUAAAGCUCUGUUGCCAGGGAAGAAUGCUUGGGAGAGUAACUGCUCCCCAAGGUGACGGUACCUGAGAAGAAAGCCCCCGGCUAACUA